ACUGCAGAAAAAAGAACUGCAAAAUCCGAUCCAAUUUUUCGUAAUCGAUUAGUUAACAUGGUGGUUAACCGUAUUAUGAAAGAUAAAAAAAACCAUUGGCUUAUCAAAUUCUCUAUCGAGCCAUGAAAAAGAUUCAACAAAAGACAGAAACAAAAAUUUGCUAGUCCCUUAAUUAUGGACUGCGUUAGCUGGCGAAUGUUCGCCAGGAGUGGUGGCAUUUCCGAAUGA
rnacentral:rRNA from 1 species